rnacentral:rRNA from 1 species
UACGUAGGGUGCAAGCGUUAAUCGGAAUUACUGGGCGUAAAGCGUGCGCAGGCGGUUGUGCAAGACAGAUGUGAAAUCCCCGGGCCUAACCUGGGAAUUGCAUUUGUGACUGUACGGCUAGAGUGUGUCAGAGGGGGGUAGAAUUCCACGUGUAGCAGUGAAAUGCGUAGAGAUGUGGAGGAAUACCGAUGGCGAAGGCAGCCCCCUGGGAUAACACUGACGCUCAUGCACGAAAGCGUGGGGAGCAAACAGG